AUGUAUGUUAAUCCUGUAGCUUUGCUCAUUUUAUCUUUUGAUUUCAUCUUAGUUAGAAUAUUUUGCCAUGCGUUCAAAAAUUACAUGUUCAUGUGGGUGGAUUGUUUCUCCCGUUGCAACGCACGGGCAUGUUUCCUAGUGUAUAUAAUAAACCAAUCGGUUGCCCUUGGUCGUCCGUCGUGGUUGUUUUGCAAGAAAGCCCCUCAGUUUCCAGGAAAUCAACCCGCCAUCCCUGUUUUAUUACAGAAACAACCCUAUAAGAAUUUCAAUUCAGUCCACAGUCCUUUCCUUCCUCUUAUCCACUCUGCGCCGGCGGCUACGCCCAUUCCGUCGUGCGCCGGCGCCCGACCCGCCGUCGCCGGCGACCACAAGCAACGACCGUUGCACCUCUCCGCGCGCCAGCAUCCUCCUCGACCUCGCCUCUCCGUGCGAACAAACGGCGUCGCCGCCGGCGGCCACGGCCACCAUGCUUGA
rnacentral:rRNA from 1 species